CCUACGGGUGGCAGCAGUGAGGAAUAUUGGUCAAUGGGCGCGAGCCUGAACCAGCCAAGUAGCGUGAAGGAUGACUGCCCUACGGGUUGUAAACUUCUUUUAUAAAGGAAUAAAGUGAGGCACGUGUGCCUUUUUGUAUGUACUUUAUGAAUAAGGAUCGGCUAACUCCGUGCCAGCAGCCGCGGUAAUACGGAGGAUCCGAGCGUUAUCCGGAUUUAUUGGGUGUAAGGGGAGCGUAGAUGGGUUGUUAAGUCGGUUGUGAAAGGUUGCGGCUCAACCGUAAAAUGGCAAUUGAUACUGGCAGACUAGAGUACAGGAGGGGGAGGCGGAAUUCGCGGUGUAGCAGUGAAAUGCGUAGAUAUCGAGAGGAACACUGGUGGCGAAGGCGGGUUACUAGACUGUAACUGACAUUGAUGCACGAAGGUGAGGGGAGCAAAAGGGAUUAGAUACCCGAGUAGUC
rnacentral:rRNA from 1 species